CAGCCGCCGCGGUAAAACCAGCACCUCAAGUGGUCAGGAUGAUUAUUGGGCCUAAAGCAUCCGUAGCCUGCUCUGUAAGUUUUCGGUUAAAUCUGUACGCUUAACGUACAGGCUGCCGGGAAUACUGCAGAGCUAGGGAGUGGGAGGGGUAGACGGUACUCGGUAGGAAGGGGUAAAAUCCUUUGAUCUAUUGAUGACCACCUGUGGCGAAGGCGGUCUACCAGAACACGUCCGACGGUGAGGGAUGAAAGCUGGGGGAGCAAACCGGAUUAUAUACCCGGGUAGUCCCAGCUGUAAACUGUGCAAACUCAGUGAUGCAUUGGUUUGUGGCCAACGCAGUGCUGCAGGGAAGCCGUUAAUUUUGCCGCCUGGGAAGCACGUACGCACCCCUGAAACUUAAAGGAAUUGUCUGCGGAGCAC
rnacentral:rRNA from 2 species